rnacentral:rRNA from 1 species
GACGAACGCUGGCGGCGUGCCUAAUACAUGCAAGUAGAACGCUGAAGAGAGGAGCUUGCUCUUCUUGGAUGAGUUGCGAACGGGUGAGUAACGCGUAGGUAACCUGCCUUGUAGCGGGGGAUAACUAUUGGAAACGAUAGCUAAUACCGCAUAACAAUGGAUGACACAUGUCAUUUAUUUGAAAGGUGCAAUUGCUCCACUACAAGAUGGACCUGCGUUGUAUUAGCUAGUAGGUGAGGUAAUGGCUCACCUAGGCGACGAUACAUAGCCGACCUGAGAGGGUGAUCGGCCACACUGGGACUGAGACACGGCCCAGACUCCUACGGGGGGCAGCAGUAGGGAAUCUUCGGCAAUGGGGGCAACCCUGACCGAGCAACGCCGCGUGAGUGAAGAAGGUUUUCGGAUCGUAAAGCUCUGUUGUAAGUCAAGAACGGGUGUGAGAGUGGAAAGUUCACACUGUGACGGUAGCUGACCAGAAAGGGACGGCUAACUACGUG